AUGUUAUUAGUAUAAAGUUUUUAUUAUUUUUCUUUUCCAAAGAAACGAUCUAUAUUUAUUUAGAUAGCAUA
rnacentral:tRNA from 1 species